GUUGAAAUAGGAUUUGACAAAGUCAGAUUGGAGCUCAUACUCACUCCCGGAGAACCACCUAGAAAAUGAAAAGAAAACACAAACAAAGACACCAAGUAUACUGGGCAACAUUAGACCAUUUCAUCUUCCAGAAUGGAGGAUGAAACUGAUGUUCGAUGGGAUUGGCCUGUGGAAGGAACUUCCUGAGGAAAUGAGGCAAAUCCAAAGUCAGACAGACUUUUAGGAAAUGCUGCCAAACCUUCUGUGACAGAACAGGACGUGUCAUUAUCAAAUGAGCCUUCCCCAGAGACCCUGUAGUGACCGGAGCCCUCACUGCGGAUUGAGGACAGCUGACCAUGGCUCCCCCAGAAUCAAACACUACUCUUGGCUAGGCCCAGGGCAAUUCUUUGAGAGCAACACCGGAAACUCCAACCCCUUGGCAUCUCUCUU